rnacentral:tRNA from 1 species
GGGGCGGUAGCUCAGCUGGGAGAGCGCGGCGUUCGCAAUGCCGAGGUCGGGAGUUCGAUCCUCCUCCGCUCCACCA